rnacentral:rRNA from 1 species
UACGUAGGCAGCAAGCGUUGUUCGGAAUUACUGGGCGUAAAGAGUGUGUAGGCGGUGCUCCAAGUCUGGUGUGAAAUCUCCCGGCUUAACUGGGAGGGUGCAUUAGAAACUGGAAUGCUAGAGGAUGGGAGAGGUAAGCGGAAUUCCUGGUGUAGCGGUGAAAUGCGUAGAUAUCAGGAGGAACAUCUGUGGUGUAGACAGCUUACUGGACCAUUUCUGACGCUGAGACACGAAAGCGUGGGUAGCAAACAGG